CUGCAGGGAUGAUUUAGAACCUGAACUCUCUCUUUCUGAUGGUGUAGUGGAGAAAACAGGAAAAUUUCUCUGAGUAGC
ensembl:snoRNA SNORD26 Small nucleolar RNA SNORD26